rnacentral:rRNA from 1 species
GAUGAACGCUGGCGGCGUGCCUAAUACAUGCAAGUCGAGCGAACGGACGAGAAGCUUGCUUCUCUGAUGUUAGCGGCGGACGGGUGAGUAACACGUGGAUAACCUACCUAUAAGACUGGGAUAACUUCGGGAAACCGGAGCUAAUACCGGAUGAUAUUUUGAACCGCAUGGUUCAAAAGUGAAAUACGGUCUUGCUGUCACUUAUAGAUGGUUCCGCGCUGCAUUAGCUAGUUGGUAAGGUAACGGCUUACCAAGGCAACGAUGCAUAGCCGACCUGAGAGGGGGGUCGGCCACACUGGAACGGAGACACGGUCCAGAGUCCUACGGGAGGCAGCAGUAGGGAAUCUUACGCAAUAGGCGAAAGCCUGACGGAGCAGCGCCGCGUGAGUGAUAAAGGUCUUCGGAUCGUAAAACUCUGUUAUUAGGGAAGAACAUAUGUGUAAGUAACUGUGCACAUCUUGACGGUAACUAAUCAGAAAGCCACGGCUAACUACGUG